CGUAGGUGAACCUGCGGAAGGAUCAUUACUGAAAUGUAACAACUUCUAUUGAAAGGUUCCAGAGUAGGCGCUACAACGCCGAAAUGACCUUCUCACCCUUGUGUACUCACUAUGUUGCUUUGGCGGGUCGACCUGGUUCCGACCCAGGCGGCCGGCGCCCCCAGCCUUAACUGGCCAGGACGCCCGGCUAAGUGCCCGCCAGUAUACAAAACUCAAGAAUUCAUUUUGUGAAGUCCUGAUAUAUCAUUUAAUUGAUUAAAACUUUCAACAACGGAUCUCUUGGUUCUGGCAUCGAUGAAGAACGCAGCGAAAUGCGAUAAGUAAUGUGAAUUGCAGAAUUCAGUGAAUCAUCGAAUCUUUGAACGCACAUUGCGCCCUCUGGUAUUCCGGAGGGCAUGCCUGUUCGAGCGUCAUUUCAACCCUCAAGCUCUGCUUGGUAUUGGGCAACGUCCGCUGCCGGACGUGCCUUGAAGACCUCGGCGACGGCGUCCUAGCCUCGAGCGUAGUAGUAAAAUAUCUCGCUUUGGAGUGCUGGGCGACGGCCGCCGGACAAUCGACCUUCGGUCUAUUUUUCCAAGGUUGACCUCGGAUCAGGUAGGGAUACCCCGCUGAACUUAAGCAUAUCAAUAAGCGGGAGG
rnacentral:rRNA from 1 species